AGCAGUCGCCACGGGAAUACGUAGGGUGCGAGCGUUAAUCGGAAUUACUGGGCGUAAAGCGUGCGCAGGCGGUUAUAUAAGACAGAUGUGAAAUCCCCGGGCUCAACCUGGGACCUGCAUUUGUGACUGUAUAGCUAGAGUACGGUAGAGGGGGAUGGAAUUCCGCGUGUAGCAGUGAAAUGCGUAGAGAUGCGGAGGAACACCGAUGGCGAAGGCAAUCCCCUGGACCUGUACUGACGCUCAUGCACGAAAGCGUGGGGAGCAAACAGGAUUAGAUACCCCUGUAGUCCCUGUCUCUUAUAA
rnacentral:rRNA from 1 species